GAUGAACGCUGGCGGCGUGCCUAAUACAUGCAAGUCGAGCGAACGGACGAGAAGCUUGCUUCUCUGAUGUUAGCGGCGGACGGGUGAGUAACACGUGGAUAACCAACCUAUAAGACUGGGAUAACUUCGGGAAACCGGAGCUAAUACCGGAUAAUAUUUUGAACCGCAUGGUUCAAAAGUGAAAGACGGUCUUGCUGUCACUUAUAGAUGGAUCCGCGCUGCAUUAGCUAGUUGGUAAGGUAACGGCUUACCAAGGCAACGAUGCAUAGCCGACCUGAGAGGGUGAUCGGCCACACUGGAGCUGAGACACGGUCCAGACUCCUACGGGAGGCAGCAGUAGGGAAUCUUCCGCAAUGGGCGAAAGCCUGACGGAGCAACGCCGCGUGAGUGAUGAAGGUCUUCGGAUCGUAAAACUCUGUUAUUAGGGAAGAACAUAUGUGUAAGUAACUGUGCACAUCUUGACGGUACCUAAUCAGAAAGCCACGGCUAACUACGUG
rnacentral:rRNA from 1 species